rnacentral:rRNA from 1 species
GAUGAACGCUGGCGGCGUGCCUAAUACAUGCAAGUCGAGCGAACAGACGAGGAGCUUGCUCCUCUGACGUUAGCGGCGGACGGGUGAGUAACACGUGGAUAACCUACCUAUAAGACUGGGAUAACUUCGGGAAACCGGCGCUAAUACCGGAUAAUAUAUUGAACCGCAUGGUUCAAUAGUGAAAGACGGUUUUGCUGUAACUUAUAGAUGGAUCCGCGCCGCAUUAGCUAGUUGGUAAGGUAACGGCUUACCAAGGCAACGAUGCGUAGCCGACCUGAGAGGGUGAUAGGCCACACUGGAACUGAGACAGGGUCCAGACUCCUACGAGAGGCAGCAGUAGGGAAUCUUACGCAAUGGGCGAAAGCUUGACGGAGCAACGCCGCGUGAGUGAUGAAGGUCUUCGGAUCGUAAAACUCUGUUAUUAGGGAAGAACAAAUGUGGAAGUAACUAUGCACGUCGUGACGGUACCGAAUCAGAAAGCCACGGCUAACUACGUG